GCUAUUUGGUCGUUGCAUCUGCCUGCACGCCGGGGCUCCCCUGCUACGGAGCGCCGCCGCUUAGUCAUCCACUUGCUUGAACCCUGACGCCAUCAGCAUGGACCAUCUCCUGCAGACCUACCAUGCUUGUGGUCACUGCUGACAGAAGCACAUUCGUUCUGGGCUGCUGCUACUAUCUCUCUCUCAGAUACGUGUACAGAAAUGUUAAGUUGUUGCUGCUGCUCUACCUCCUUCUCUCCCCCCGACCGUGCAAACUGCAAAGGCUGCUGCUCUUAUUUCUCUCAGGAGCUUCUCUCUUUCAUAGCAAAAUACAAGAUCUUGCAAUAGAAUUAAUGUGUCAAUCCAAAAUGUGAUUUUUUAUUGAUAUGAAAAAAAUAUUCGUCUAACGUCAGGUUUAAUUCAGAGAAACCUGACAAUGAUGUGCACGUAUUAUAUUCUUGAUGUUGGUAUUUCAUGCCCUAUAUCUUUUUGCUAAUAUGUCUACAACAACUAACCAUCUGUUUUUAUGUUUCUCUGCCUCCAUCCAACUAGGGCUCUUUUGUGUGUGCAGGACAAUCCCAACGAUUGUCCAUUCAUUUCAUCCGUCGUGUACAUCUUGGAGAACGGAAGUGCCAAACUUCAUGUCCCGAACCAACCGAUUGCAGAGGCCAAACCUGAUGCUACCCCAUUGUUUUGUAAUGUGCAAGUUAAGCUUCUGAUGGUACAUAGUUGGCAUGCAGUAAAAUCUAGCAACCAUUGGUGCAGUGCCAAAUAAAGUAACCACAGCCGGUUUUAUCAACAGAGUCAUAUUUCAAAGGUACCCCUUCGCAAAUUCAUGAUCCAGGACCAUGAGAAACCAAUACUUACGUUGUUCAGGAAAGCAUUGAGGAUAUCGUGUAGAGGAUAACACGUGCCAAGGGUUAUCUAAAUCGAGUUGAAUUCGGACUUCCAAUCGUGGUAUUUUCUUUUGACUGUCUAGGUAUGAGUCAGAGGUGGUUUAUACUUGUGGAAAGAAAACUCAAGAAGUAACCUGGGGAUUUUAUAACAUUAUAAAAGGCAUUGCAGCAUUCAAUCUUAACCUGGUGAAAAGGAACAUCACGAUUUUCAUCGGUAAUUUAUUCAGUAAAACAUACAUGCAUGCAUGCAAAUAUACUUAUAUAUUCCUUGGACAAGAUGCUCAGAGUUUUAUCAAUUUUGUUGAUGCUUCCAGAAAAACAGAAAGCGCAGGCUUGCCAGAGUGAACCCGAGGGCAUUGACCAUGAUGCUGUUGCUAGGAUGGAUUUCAGAGGGUUAGGCAUGUCGGAGAAGUGCAUUCCGCUUUAGGUGCGAUCUUUUGGUCCAACCCAAGACAUGGCUGUUAGCUUGUUGGUACAUGUACUUGGAUCUCAGGAUAGCGCCGGGCACAGCUCUAUCAUGCAAAGCUAUUGGAGUGAUCAAACUCUGUUGUGAUGAACAGUGUUCUUGUUGUAAAUUGGCGAUCAUCUGAAAAACAUUUCAUCUUUGAGAAGUAUGAUAACUAUCACUCACAUGUUUUGCCUGGGGUACAAGAAAACAAUUGAAGUACUCUGUUUCUCGAUA